rnacentral:rRNA from 1 species
UGCGUAGGCGGCGCGGUAAGUCGGGUGUGAAAUCUCGGAGCUUAACUCCGAAACUGCAUUCGAUACUGCCGUGCUUAAGGACUGGAGAGGAGACUGGAAUUUAUGGUGUAGCGGUGAAAUGCGUAGAUAUCGUAAGGAAGACCAGUGGCGAAGGCGGGUCUCUGGACAGUUCCUGACGCUGAGGCACGAAGGUCAGGGGAGCAAACG